rnacentral:rRNA from 1 species
UACGGAGGAUCCAAGCGUUAUCCGGAUUUAUUGGGUUUAAAGGGUGCGUAGGCGGUUUAUUAAGUCAGGGGUGAAAGACGGCAGCUUAACUGUCGCAGUGCCUUUGAUACUGAUGAACUUGAAUGUACUAGAAGUAGGCGGAAUGCGACAAGUAGCGGUGAAAUGCAUAGAUAUGUCACAGAACACCGAUUGCGAAGGCAGCUUACUAUGGUAUGAUUGACGCUGAGGCACGAAAGCGUGGGGAUCAAACAGG